UCCAACUGGCCGUGGUUUAGUGUUUAUGUGAUUAUACUUGUUGUCAUUGUUACAGUUCCUUACAUAUAUGCUCCGCAUUAUUUUGUUAAAAGUGUAGAUAGGUAAUAUAAUUAUUCUACAUCACUAUAGUGUAAGAGUAAGUAUGCUAACCAAAAGGGCACUGUGUGUAAUUGCAUCAGGGGCGUAAUAAUAAAAAUUUCUAUUAAUUCUAUUGUAUAGAAACAUGAAGAGCUAGGACGACCAAUGGCAUAACCAUAAAUAUACUCAAUAUUGAAGGGUAAUAUGGUCAUUAUACAACACUAAUUUUUUAGCAAUUAACAUGCGCCUCUUCUAUUUUCCUUCUAGAACAUUCUCUCUCUUCCUUCCAUGUUGCAAUUAAGAGAUGACUCAAGAAAAAGAAUUGGUAAAUUGAUCGGAUCUUUCCUAAACCUCCUCUCUCUAGACCUAAUAUGUGAUCUAUCUAUUUCAUAGACUUCUCUUGUGAUGCUACUAAAGCAGGAAUGGGUGGUGUAAAUGGUUUAAUUAUCGGUAUAUAUAAUCGGUUUAUACACAUAGGUAGCUUUAUGAACUUUAAAAAGGAUAUCUAGAAGGAUUGUAACAUGUCAUAUUCUACAAUUCUGAAGAGUAAGCAUGAUGAAUCUUUCUGAUUGAUAAAAAUGGCCUCGAGAGGGAUUGUAACAUGUCAUAUUUUUACAAUUGUGAAGAAUAAGCAUAUGUUGGAAUAUGAAUUUCAUAAAUUGUUGUUUCUUUCUGAUGAAUGUAGUAUAAUUGGUGCAGGUGAUUGACGGUUUAGUUCCAUUAACAGAGAUGUUCAAUUGCGUUAGUAAAACUUGAAAGGGAAUGACAAAGGAGCAUGCAUCGUACAUUAUGCAAUUAGGCAAGUUUGAUGUUGUCCCUCAACACAUUCAAAUCAGCUUGCCAAAAAGGAAGAAGCAGCAGUUGUUUAGUCAGUCAGCUUUCAAAUUUGGAUCCACGAACUUAAAAAUAGGUAUUUUUACUCAAUGAAGGGACUGCUCUUUGACAUCAUCUUGUCUUUUGGUGUUGCAAUUUCAGUUUGAUCUUUUAUCUUAAUUUUAGCCAUUAUUUUAAGAUUCUCUUUACAUUUUCCAACAUGGUUGAAGCGGUUAUAUUUUGACUAGCUUUCACUGCCAUAAAUUUCAUAGAGGCAAGUCAACAUGCCGGUUUUAUACUGAUUUGUUGUGAAUUUCAACCUCUUACUUGUUCUCCUAUGCUUGGUGGUUAAUUUCUUUAAAUUUUUUUACUCAACGGUUAGUCUCCCGUGGUUUCCACUCCAAGUCCACCAAUCCAACGUAAACUUGCCAACAUCGUAUUUCAUGAAACUUGUGUGCACUUACCAAACUACCCUGCCCCUUCGCCCUCAACCAUUAGCUCCCACGCCUAAUAACAAGGACAUCAUAGUAAAAUCACUUUGUUACCGUAAUCGAACAGACCCCAUAGAAUAUAGUUGGACUGGUUAUUUUUUUCUUUAACUUCUUUAAUAAUAAUUAAGAAUCUACGUUAACACUUGACUAAUAGUAUAUGAGUUCCCUCUGUUCUUUUUUCCAUCAUAAAGUUUAAUUUUUCUUUGUUGUUUCUAAAUUAAAACUUGUAUUCUUUUAAUUCCAAUCUUUUAACCUUUUAGGUGAACCAAGAAAAGAAAAAAUGUUGGAUGCAUAAAAGAAUAACAAGUUUUAUUCCCAAUGGUAAGAGUGACAAUUUGUUAGGGUUGGUUUUUUUUUUCCAUAAAUAUUUUUCAGAAUGUAGAAAAUUAUUUUUCUUGUUAAUUUUGCUUAUGUUGUGGGAAUUUUCUGAUAUAACAAGAGUCUACAAUCAGGCAGACGAAAACUCAAAUCGAAAUGAUCAGGAAGUAGAGAUAUGCAAUGUAGAAAUAUUUGAAGAAUGAUAUAACUGGCGUCUUAAAAUAUGGAUUGGAUGUCAACCCCUGCCACAGGGUAAUUUUCUUUUGUUGGAAUUGAUCCAUCUAUAUAUUCUGUUAUUCUAUCACUUAGUUUUAUUUUAUAUGGCCUCUUUCUUUAUACUGAUUUGUUGUGAGUUUUAGUUUUAUUUUAUAUGGCCUGUUUCUUUAUACUGAUUUGUUUGAGUUUCAACCUCUUACGUGUUCUCCUAUUCUUUGGUGGUUAAUUCCAUUAGUUUUUUUGUAUGUGCAUGUUAGUUCGUGCACAUAUCUUUUCUUCUACUUGAUUUUCCUAAAACCAAAUACACGCUAUCACUAAGAAUAAUGGUCUAUUGAGUUCUCUUCCUCUCAAUGCAACUGCAUUGCUUUGGCUAAUUUAUAUGAGCUUAAGGAAAAAGAAAAUGUAGAGUGAAUUUUUUAAAAAGAAAAUGUAGAGUGAUUUUUUUUUCUUUCUUUCUUUUCGGUGAUUACUAAGAAAGGCUAAUGAUCUAAAUUUAUGCAUUCUCUAAGUUGGUCUUUUUCAUAAGCACCAUGCCAAGUCAAAAAGGGCCACAUAAAAUAGGAUAGAUGGAGUAUAAUUUUUUUUUAAAUGUACUUCCUAUCAUAAAUAGUUAUUUUUGUAAUGAAAAAAUUAACAUAAAAUGUAUUCUUGAUAAAAAUAUUAGCCCCCCCCCCCUCCCCCUAAAAUUGAGGGCCCAAGGCAUGUGCUUACUUUUUAUAGCAUAGAGUUUACCAUGUGUUGCAAUUCUCAAGCCUUAAUUAGCUCUUGAAGAAGGUUAGCAACCACAUAUAUCUUCCUUCUCAGAAAUAUUUAUGCACAAAUAUACUUAUAUACGUGCAAGAUGUUUUAACAGUAAAUAUUGAAAUAUAGCGCAAGACUCUUCUCAUAUGAGCCAGACAUGUUUCAAUAUUCUAUGUGCUAAGAGGAUUCUUCCAUGAUUGUGAUUUUGAAUUUUGCAAUGUGAAUGACAGGAAUACUUUCUUGAAUCUAUUUCCUUAGGGCAUUGAGUGAAGGUUGUUCCUUUCAAAUUCACAUAUAACUUGGUAUAUGUUAAUUCUUUGUGGUUAUCUUCAGUAUUUUAUUUUAAAUUGACAUAUAACUUGUAAUAUGCUGGUUCUUUGUGAUUGUCUUCACUAUUUUAUUUUUACUUUUGCUUUAAGUGCUACUAUUUUUAUGAACAGUUGUUAUUUCGGAACUUUUAUUCCUUUCCUUGAGAUAUUAAAGCUGGAGUAUAUAGUUCGUGCUGAGUGAAGGAAAUUUUGCAUCUUAUCAAGACAAUUGCAAACACUCGAGGCAUCAAUGGAUUUAUGAAACGGAAUUUUAUUACUCUACAUGCAGCUCCAUUUAAGGAUACCAACUUCUAUUCUUUUGAAAAAUACAGAGAGCAUCUACUCAAAUUUACUACUAAUGAUUCAAGGCAUCACUAGAUUUUGUAAAAUGAAUUUUGUCAUAUUCUAUGAUUAGCUCUAUGUAAGUCUAUCCACUUCUAUUUUCUUAUGAUAAAUAUUGAAAAGUAUUUAGAAGAUAGUUGUCUGCAAUGUAAAGUUAUUUGUGGAAAGGGAGAAAUUAGUUGUAUUAUUGCACUUUGAAGUUCAUUUGUAUAACUUAUGCAAUGAUCUAUUAGCUUUUACAAUAUAUACUCUUAUCCGAGUAACUAUGCAAAGUACAUACCACUUGAAAAUGCUAAAUGUUGGGCCCGUGUAAGCACGGGCUAUAUCCAUCUAGUCUAUCUAUUAUAUAGAAACGUGAUGAGAGGACGACCACUGGC
rnacentral:lncRNA from 1 species